rnacentral:rRNA from 1 species
AGAGUUUGAUCCUGGCUCAGAACGAACGCUGGCGGCAGGCUUAACACAUGCAAGUCGAGCGCUGUAGCAAUACAGAGCGGCAGACGGGUGAGUAACACGUGGGAAUCUACCCAACCCUACGGAACAACUCCGGGAAACUGGAGCUAAUACCGUAUACGCCCUUCGGGGGAAAGAUUUAUCGGGGAUGGAUGAGCCCGCGUUGGAUUAGCUAGUUGGUGGGGUAAAGGCCUACCAAGGCGACGAUCCAUAGCUGGUCUGAGAGGAUGAUCAGCCACAUUGGGACUGAGACACGGCCCAAACUCCUACGGGAGGCAGCAGUGGGGAAUAUUGGACAAUGGGCGCAAGCCUGAUCCAGCCAUGCCGCGUGAGUGAUGAAGGCCUUAGGGUUGUAAAGCUCUUUCACCGAUGAAGAUAAUGACGGUAGUCGGAGAAGAAGCCCCGGCUAACUUCGUGCCAGCAGCCGCGGUAAUAC